CGAAGCGGUUCUUUCUGCCUGUUACAAACUUUUAAACAAAUCUAGUAUACAUUUUUCAAAAGUGCAAAAGUGUCAGAUUUAGACUUGAGGGCGUUGGAGUGUGCGUACUGAUAGAAACUGACAAGAAAAAUAAUUAAAAGGAAAAAAAAUUACCAAUUGUGGGCGUGGUCGUUUUGGGCGAUGCAAACCGCGUGGCAACAUCUUCUACUCUACGAGUAACAGAAGUAAAAUCUGAAAAUAUCCCUUUACCUGUCCCACAACUAUGUAGUAAAAUGACAGAACGUUUCGCUAUUUAAUUGCAAGUUUAUAAACCGUUAAUUUGUUGCCUUCAUGAUGGACUCCUAUAUUGGUAAUUGCGCUGUACCGGAACCGGAAUUUAAUGUCAAAUAAUCUUGCCAGGCCCGACAAUCAAAUUAAUUUUUCAUGCCCCAGUUUACCACUGGCCCAGCAACCCUCUUGGCCAAAAUCCAGAAGGACUGACUUCCAGGGCAUCGAAGCUGAUUAGCAUAAGUUCGUCUAUGUCGUCGCUGGCAACGUUGUCGUCUUUUGUCAACGUGUCUGGCAUGCCAAGCUGGGAAACUUGCAGCUUUCCACAAAGUAAGGGAAACUCAAACAAUCUAGAAAAGGAACAGGAAAAGAAAAGAAAAGAAAAGAAAAG